AACGUACUCCCUCCGUCCCAAAAUUCUUGUCUUAGAUUUUUCUAGAUACGGAUGUAUCAAGUCACAUUUUAGUAUUAGAUACAUCCGUAUCUAGACAAAUCUGAGACAAGAAAUUUGGGACAGAGGGAGUAGUUG
rnacentral:pre_miRNA from 1 species